CAAUAAGACAGGCUGAAUUCCAUUAUGGAAGUGGGGGAUAUACCCUGGGGUGAAUAGUAUGCCAUAUUAUUUGCAUGCUUAGGGUUACUCUCAACCCUAAUCCGUCAACUAACCCCGUAAGCCGUAUGAGAGGAGAU
rnacentral:sRNA from 2 species